rnacentral:rRNA from 1 species
GCUGGCGGCAUGCCUAACACAUGCAAGUCGGACGCUCUUGGGGUUUCGGCCUCAAGGGAGUGGCGCACGGGUGAGUAGCGCGUGGGAACCUGCCCCUUUGUGGGGGAUAACCGAGGGAAACUUCGGCUAAUACCGCAUGCGCCCCUGGGGGAGACCUUGGGGGGAAAGAUUUAUCGCAGAGGGAGGGGCCCGCGUCGGAUUAGGUAGUUGGUGGGGUAACGGCCUACCAAGCCUGUGAUCCGUAGCUGGUCUGAGAGGAUGAUCAGCCACACUGGGACUGAGACACGGCCCAGACUCCUACGGGAGGCAGCAGUGGGGAAUAUUGGACAAUGGGCGCAAGCCUGAUCCAGCAAUGCCGCGUGAGUGAUGAAGGCCUUAGGGUUGUAAAGCUCUUUCGGCGGGGACGAUGAUGAC